UUUCUUCGUUUGACACCAUCUCGACAAGUGGGCGAUCUACCUGCUAGCACGGGACUGCAGUAAGGUGAAGGUGAGCCGACAUCUAUGACAUUCUAAAUUGCUCUGUAGCAAGCCAAGGUGACACAAAUACAACGUUCAAAGACAGAACAGUGAAAAGAUGGUUAGAUACUGCAGCCACGAGAAUCAAUGAAGCUUACGUUGCCAACGCUACAGAUAGUGGACCCAGCAUAAAGACGUAUUACAUCACAGCGUUAUAUUUUACGUUUACGUCACUGACGUCAAUAGGAUUCGGAAACGUGUCACCAAAUACUAAUGGAAUUGACAUGCCGGUAAAGAUGAUAUAUUUGGUGGUGAUUGCAGUGACGUGGAAUGCUCGGGAAAAUCGUUCUGUUUUGUACGUGCCCUUAGUUACUGUGAUAUUGACAAGAUAGAGUUACACGUGCUGAAAGAAACAAUGGAUAUAUAACCAGAAUUUUCAAAAAGAACUAAUGGGUAAA
rnacentral:lncRNA from 1 species